GUUUAUGUCUACAACACAGGCCAGUAGUAUGCAGUUUGCAUGUCGAUACGGUAGUGUUUAUGUCUACAACCCAGGCCAGUAGUAUGCAGUUUGCAUGUCGAUACGGUAGUGUUUAUGUCUACAACCCAGGCCAGUAGUAUGCAGUUUGCAUGUUGAUACGGUAGUGUUUAUGUCUACAACCCAGGCCAGUAGUAUGCAGUUUGCAUGUUGAUACGGUAGUGUUUAUGUCUACAACCCAGGCCAGUAGUAUGCAGUUUGCAUGUCGAUACGGUAGUGUUUAUGUCUACAACCCAGGCCAGUAGUAUGCAGUUUGCAUGUUGAUACGGUAGUGUUUAUGUCUACAACCCAGGCCAGUAGUAUGCAGUUUGCAUGUCGAUACGGUAGUGUUUAUGUCUACAACCCAGGCCAGUAGUAUGCAGUUUGCAUGUUGAUACGGUAGUGUUU
ensembl:lncRNA